GGUGAUGAUGACUCCAGGUGACUCACUGAGUGUCUCGCUGACGCCAUCACCGCAGCGCGCUGACC
ensembl:snoRNA SNORD48 small nucleolar RNA, C/D box 48